rnacentral:snRNA from 1 species
UCACUUACCUGGACGGGGUCAAUGGACGAUCAAUAAGGUCCAUGGCCUAGGUUGGUGACCUCCAUUACACUCAGGAGGGGUGCCCGCCUAAGGUCGGCCCAAGUGGUCGAGCCUACGUCAUAAUUUGUGGCAGUGGAGGACUGCGUUCGCGCGGCCUCUG